UGUGUGUGUGUGUGUGUGUGUGUGUGUAUAGAAAGAGAGAGAGAGAGCGAUCUCACAUGUGUGCAUGCACACACACACACACACACACA
rnacentral:miRNA from 1 species